CGAGCGGACAGAAGGGAGCUUGCUCCCGGAUGUUAGCGGCGGACGGGUGAGUAACACGUGGGUAACCUGCCUGUAAGACUGGGAUAACUCCGGGAAACCGGAGCUAAUACCGGAUAGUUCCUUGAACCGCAUGGUUCAAGGAUGAAAGACGGUUUCGGCUGUCACUUACAGAUGGACCCGCGGCGCAUUAGCUAGUUGGUGAGGUAACGGCUCACCAAGGCGACGAUGCGUAGCCGACCUGAGAGGGUGAUCGGCCACACUGGGACUGAGACACGGCCCAGACUCCUACGGGAGGCAGCAGUAGGGAAUCUUCCGCAAUGGACGAAAGUCUGACGGAGCAACGCCGCGUGAGUGAUGAAGGUUUUCGGAUCGUAAAGCUCUGUUGUUAGGGAAGAACAAGUGCAAGAGUAACUGCUUGCACCUUGACGGUACCUAACCAGAAAGCCACGGCUAACUACGUGCCAGCAGCCGCGGUAAUACGUAGGUGGCAAGCGUUGUCCGGAAUUAUUGGGCGUAAAGGGCUCGCAGGCGGUUUCUUAAGUCUGAUGUGAAAGCCCCCGGCUCAACCGGGGAGGGUCAUUGGAAACUGGGAAACUUGAGUGCAGAAGAGGAGAGUGGAAUUCCACGUGUAGCGGUGAAAUGCGUAGAGAUGUGGAGGAACACCAGUGGCGAAGGCGACUCUCUGGUCUGUAACUGACGCUGAGGAGCGAAAGCGUGGGGAGCGAACAGGAUUAGAUAC
rnacentral:rRNA from 1 species